UGGGGAAUAUUGGGCAAUGGGCGCAAGCCUGACCCAGCAACGCCGCGUGAGGGAAGAAGGUUUUCGGAUUGUAAACCUCUGUCGCAGAAGACGAAGGAAGUGACGGUAAUCUGUGAGGAAGCCCCGGCUAACUACGUGCCAGCAGCCGCGGUAAUACGUAGGGGGCGAGCGUUGUCCGGAAUUACUGGGCGUAAAGGGAGCGUAGGCGGUUAAUUAAGUUAGAUGUGAAAUACCCGGGCUUAACUUGGGGGGUGCAUCUAAUACUGGUAAACUAGAGUACAGGAGAGGAAAGCGGAAUUCCUAGUGUAGCGGUGAAAUGCGUAG
rnacentral:rRNA from 1 species